rnacentral:lncRNA from 1 species
GUUUCUCAGGAAAGUAAACCAGAGAGAAAACUCUGUAAUUCUCAUGCUGCCAUAAUAUGGUUAACUUCACUAGAAUUAACUUGAAUUCUAUAAUCCUUUGCUUGUAAGACUUCACCUGAGAUAAGUAACUUAAUUUAUAUAGAAAGAGAACAACAACAACAACAAAAAGAAUGUCUUCCAAGAGGAAAACAGGAACUACUUUUCAGUGGAGAGACAGAUUUUGAGCUAUCACACACACUGCAAAUCUGCUGACACAGCCUGAAUUUGCCUGUGUUUUCCAAUUGUUCAUCCAGCAGCUCAUAUGCCAUUACUGCUGAAGAAUUAGUCUGAACAAAUUAAUGCAGCACAGGCUAGAACACUAUGCAAACCUCAUUCCUACUCUUCAGUGAAGAAUUAAAGAUAAAUAUGUGCUUCUGUAUGCACAGCCUGGAAUACUAACACACAAAAUUACACAAUGGUGGGAGUAAGCAGGAUCUGUACCUGAGGUGCAAGGCAAAGCCCAUCAUGAAGAGCCUUCAAUCUCCUAUCUGAGCAGGCUAUGAUGAACUUGGACUGGACUUCUAUAGUUUAGCAUUUGACCGAGAUAUCCCAGUUUCCCAACUGUCAGAUUAUAUUGUUGUGAACACUGAGAAGGCAUACGGGGACACAGGAAGAAGGCUGUGAUAUUUCCCAAAAUUUGUUUCCUGCUGUUCUACUCAAGACUGUCAAAGAAGCUAUAAGGACAGAGAUUCUGAGCACAAGAGACAAUGAGGGAUUUUGAAGUUUGGUGUGGAAGGUAUAAAACAUGUUCUUUGUAUUCUGAUUGAAUUUUGCAUUAUCUGUAAAAUACUCUGUCCUACUAUUUGUUAGUAUUUUAUUCAAGCCUCUUUUUGCUAGUACUAAAAUAUCAUUGAGCAAUUCUCUGCAAACCUAGAACAUGACAGACAAUUGGCUGUUAUCUGCUUAGAUUAUAGCAAGACAUUAUUUUGCCUGUUCUAUUUGAUACAGGUUUCAAAUCCUUUUAAAACUGUACCAUCUUAAAGAUCCCCCUCAAUCCAAGGGCUAGAUAAAAUAAAUCAAUUAACAAUGAGUAAAAAAAUGUGCAGUCACAAGCUGAUUUAUUCUUUUUUCUUCAUAGGAAGGGCAAACUACCCUUAACUCUCUACUUAUAAACAUGUCUACAUUCCCUCUGAGUACUUUGCACAUUUUAAAGACAUUUUUGUAUCUUU